rnacentral:rRNA from 1 species
GACGAACGCUGGCGGCGUGCUUAACACAUGCAAGUCGAACGGAAAGGCCCUGCUUUUGUGGGGUGCUCGAGUGGCGAACGGGUGAGUAACACGUGAGUAACCUGCCCUUGACUUUGGGAUAACUUCAGGAAACUGGGGCUCAUACCGGAUAGGAGCUCCUGCUGCAUGGUGGGGGUUGGAAAGUUUCGGCGGUUGGGGAUGGACUCGCGGCUUAUCAGCUUGUUGGUGGGGUAGUGGCUUACCAAGGCUUUGAAGGGUAGCCGGCCUGAGAGGGUGACCGGCGACAAUGGGACUGAGAGACGGACCAGACGCCUACGGGACGCAGCAGUGGGGAAUAUUGCACAAUGGGCGGGAGCCAGAGGCAGCAACGCCGCGUGCGGGAUGACGGGCUACGGGGUGUGAACCGCUUUCGCCUGUGACGAAGCGUGAGUGACGGUAAUGGGUAAAGAAGCAACGGCUAACUACGUG